GCAUGGGUUGCGGUGUCUGCACUGUGUUCACACCGCAGGGGUCGCUGGUUCAAUCCCAGCCGCGCCCACCA
rnacentral:tRNA from 1 species